ACCCGCUGAAUUUAAGCAUUUCAAUAAGCGGAGGAAAAGAAACCAACAGGGAUUGCCUUAGUAACGGCGAGUGAAGCGGCAAAAGCUCAAAUUUGAAAUCUGGCACCUUCGGUGUCCGAGUUGUAAUUUGAAGAAGGUAACUUUGGAGUUGGCUCUUGUCUAUGUUCCUUGGAACAGGACGUCACAGAGGGUGAGAAUCCCGUGCGAUGAGAUGCCCAAUUCUAUGUAAAGUGCUUUCGAAGAGUCGAGUUGUUUGGGAAUGCAGCUCUAAGUGGGUGGUAAAUUCCAUCUAAAGCUAAAUAUUGGCGAGAGACCGAUAGCGAACAAGUACAGUGAUGGAAAGAUGAAAAGAACUUUGAAAAGAGAGUGAAAAAGUACGUGAAAUUGUUGAAAGGGAAGGGCUUGAGAUCAGACUUGGUAUUUUGCGAUCCUUUCCUUCUUGGUUGGGUUCCUCGCAGCUUACUGGGCCAGCAUCGGUUUGGAUGGUAGGAUAAUGACUAAGGAAUGUGGCUCUACUUCGGUGGAGUGUUAUAGCCUUGGUUGAUACUGCCUGUCUAGACCGAGGACUGCGUCUUUUGACUAGGAUGUUGGCAUUAUGAUCUUAAGCCACCCGUCUUGAAACACGGACCAAGGAG
rnacentral:rRNA from 1 species